rnacentral:misc_RNA from 1 species
AUCGUGGAAUUAUAUAACUUGACGAUCGACGUCCCCUCGAUAAGAAGCGCCGGUAUAAACUGCACCGAUUAAUCUUCGAUCGCACAUAUUUCAAUCGACGUGCACUUAUUUCGAACAAUUUUUGGGUAUACGAGUGUAUACGAUAGUCGAAUCGGGUAAUUAAUUAUUAUAUUCAAAUAACGGACGGAGAACUUUUUAAAAUUUGUUCGGAGCUACGUCAGUUGCACGAUCUUCGUAUUGUCCAUCGAACCGGAGCUGACUGACGGCCAACAAAGUCUUGAGCCGAUGCACCGAGGAAAAUGCAACUUAUUGAUACACUCCUCCUAUCACUAUCGAGCGAGUUCCGAUUACCGAUAACACGUGAUAAUCCGUCGUUAAGAAAUUUUUUUCUCUUCCAUGCACCUGCGGAAGUGCACUCGACAACUCUAUACCAAGAUGCGAGGAAAUACAGAAAAAGAACAAAAAAAAAAAACUAGGAGCUUUCUAAUUAGGAAUCUGUGAGAUCUUACCAGGCGAACGUAGAAAACGUGGCACCCUCAGCGAAAUUCUCGGGAUCCUGCGGUUACCGUCAUGGGGUUGUUUUUCCUACCACGGAUUCACGGAUUUCAAUCGAGACCUGUAAUCAGGUUGAAAUUAAUUGAAUGCUCCAGAAUCUGAAUGGAUAGCUGGAUACUGAAAAAC